CAUGGUCUUUAUCAUCAAAUUAUUCUAUAAAUUUUGUAUUUUUGUGUGAUGGUACUCUCAUAUAGGACAGACACAGAGGGAGCCACCAUGCCUGACUCUGACUUCACAUUUUUCUUCCACACUGCCCUAUCAGAGGGUCCCCAUGAGAGCCCUGCCCUGCAGCAAACUUCUGCCUGGACAUCCAGGCAUUUCGAUAUAUCUUCUGAAAUCUAAGCAGAGGUUCCCAAACCUCAAUUCUUGACACCUGUGCACUCACAGGCUCAACACCAUGUGAAAGCUGCCAAGGAUUGAGGCUUGCACCCUCUGAAGCCACGGCCCAAACUCUAUGUUGGCCCCUUUCAGCCAUGGCUGGAGUGGCUAGGAUGCAUGGCACCAAGUGCCUAGGCUUCACACAGCAUGGGGACCCUGAGCCCAGUCCCCAAAACCACUUUUUUGUGACAGAGUCACUCUGUUGCCCA
rnacentral:lncRNA from 1 species